rnacentral:rRNA from 21 species
GCCGCGGUAGCCUGACCGUGCUAAGGUAGCGCAAUCACUUGCCUUUUAAUUGGAGGCUAGUAUGAAUGGUUAGACAAGGGCUUACCUGUCUCAGGAAAAUUAUUAUAAAUUGACCUUCGGGUGCAGAGGCCCGAAUCUUAAUAAAAGACGAGAAGACCCUAUCGAGCUUUAAUCUCAAUUACUUUAUACAUGUAAUAUAGAUUUUUGUUGGGGCAACAAAGGGGCAAACAAAAUCCCCUUUCCUUUUAUCGGUAACAAACUAAUAACUGAAAACAGUUUAUUUUUUUUAUUAAAAUCUAUGUACAUAAUAAAAGAUACUAGCUACCGUAGGGAUAACAGACUAAUGUCUCUUCAGAGUUCUAAUCGACAGAGACGCUUGGCACCUCGAUGUUGGCUUAGGAACCCAGUCGCGAAGCAGCCCUCCGACUUAGUAGGCUUGUUCAGCCUUUAAUUUCCU